rnacentral:rRNA from 1 species
AACCCUGGCAGCGAGCGGCGAACGGGUGAGUAAUGCAUCGGAACGUACCCUGGAGUGGGGGAUAACGCCGCGAAGGCGGCGCUAAUACCGCAUAUGCUCUGAGGAGGAAAGUGGGGGACCGCAAGGCCUCACGCUCUGGGAGCGGCCGAUGUCCGAUUAGCUAGUUGGUGGGGUAAAGGCUCACCAAGGCGACGAUCGGUAGCUGGUCUGAGAGGAUGAUCAGCCACACUGGGACUGAGACACGGCCCAGACUCCUACGGGAGGCAGCAGUGGGGAAUUUUGGACAAUGGGGGCAACCCUGAUCCAGCCAUGCCGCGUGAGUGAAGAAGGCCUUCGGGUUGUAAAGCUCUUUUGGUCGGGAAGAAAGUGCCUUGCCUAAUAAGCGAGGUAUUUGACGGUACCGGCAGAAUAAGCACCGGCUAACUACGUGCCAGCAGCCGCGGUAAUACGUAGGGUGCGAGCGUUAAUCGGAAUUACUGGGCGUAAAGCGUGCGCAGGCGGUUGGUUAAGUCUGAUGUGAAAGCCCCGGGCUCAACCUGGGAAUGGCAUUGGAAACUGGCCAGCUGGAGUAUGACAGAGG